AACGAACGCUGGCGGCACGCCUAACACAUGCAAGUCGAACGAGACCUUCGGGUCCAGUGGCGCACGGGUGCGUAACGCGUGGGACUCUGCCCUCUGGUUCGGAACAACAGUUGGAAACGACUGCUAAUACCGGAUAAUGACUUCGGUCCAAAGAUUUAUCGCCUGAGGAUGAGCCCGCGUCGGAUUAGCUUGUUGGUGAGGUAAAAGCUCACCAAGGCGACGAUCCGUAGCUGGUCUGAGAGGAUGAUCAGCCACACUGGGACUGAGACACGGCCCAGACUCCUACGGGAGGCAGCAGUGGGGAAUAUUGAACAAUGGGCGAAAGCCUGAUCCAGCAAUGCCGCGUGAGUGAUGAAGGCCUUAGGGUUGUAAAGCUCUUUUACACGGGAUGAUAAUGACAGUACCGGGAGAAUAAGCCCCGGCUAACUCCGUGCCAGCCGCCGCCGUAAAAC
rnacentral:rRNA from 1 species